rnacentral:rRNA from 1 species
GUGGGGAAUAUUGGACAAUGGGCGAAAGCCUGAUCCAGCCAUGCCGCGUGUGUGAAGAAGGUCUUCGGAUUGUAAAGCACUUUAAGUUGGGAGGAAGGGCAGUAAGUUAAUACCUUGCUGUUUUGACGUUACCGACAGAAUAAGCACCGGCUAACUUCGUGCCAGCAGCCGCGGUAAUACGAAGGGUGCAAGCGUUAAUCGGAAUUACUGGGCGUAAAGCGCGCGUAGGUGGUUUUGUAAGUUGGAGGUGAAAUCCCCGGGCUCAACCUGGGAACUGCCUCCAAAACUACAUGACUAGAGUACGGUAGAGGGUAGUGGAAUUUCCUGUGUAGCGGUGAAAUGCGUAGAUAUAGGAAGGAACACCAGUGGCGAAGGCGACUACCUGGACUGAUACUGACACUGAGGUGCGAAAGCGUGGGGAGCAAACAGGAUUAGAUACCCCAGUAGUCC